GGCAAUGGCCAUACUACAUUGUAAAAUACCAGUUCUCAUCCGAUCACUGAAGUUAAGCAACAUUGGGCAUAGUCAGUACUUAGAUGAGUGAUCGCUUGAGAAACAUACUGCUAACAUGAUGA
rnacentral:rRNA from 1 species